rnacentral:misc_RNA from 1 species
UAACGAUUGUUUGUAUCAGAACAGGUAAUGCUAGAUGCAAAAAAGGUUUUGUUUGGUUCCAACGGCAGGUUGCCCCACCGAAGGAGAACGAAGGUGCUCGUAGAAAAAGGGUUCAGAAAUACGGCGCGUGAAGGUGUUACCCCUACCACCCGAGCUUUCGCCCGGGGGCCGCGACCGCACCUGGUUGAGAUGGAUAAUGAUCCUUCCGCAGGUUCACCUACGGAAA